GACGAACGCUGGCGGCGUGCCUAAUACAUGCAAGUAGAACGCAGUUGCGAACGGGUGAGUAACGCGUAGGUAACUGCCUCAUAGCGGGGAUAACUAUUGGAAACGAUAGCUAAUACCGCAUACUGUGAGAUGGACCUGCGUUGUAUUAGCUAGUUGGUGAGGUAAAGGCUCACCAAGGCGGCGAUACAUAGCCGAGCUGAGCGGGUGAUCGGCCAAACCGGGACAGGGACACGGCGCCAACUCCUACGGGAGGGAGGAGGAGGGAAUCAUCGGAAAUGGACGGAAGUCUGACCGAGCAACGCCGGGUGAGUGAAGGAGGUUUUCGGAUCGGAAAGGUCUGUUGUUAGGGAAGCGGUAACUAACGAGAAAGGGACGGCUAACUCCGUGCCAGCAGCCGCGGUAAUAC
rnacentral:rRNA from 1 species